rnacentral:rRNA from 1 species
CCUACGGGUGGCUGCAGUGGGGAAUAUUGGACAAUGGGCGAAAGCCUGAUCCAGCCAUGCCGCGUGUGUGAAGAAGGCCUUCGGGUUGUAAAGCACUUUCAGUGGGGAAGAAAGCCUUGGGGCUAAUACCCUCGAGGAAGGACAUCACCCACAGAAGAAGCACCGGCUAACUCCGUGCCAGCAGCCGCGGUAAUACGGAGGGUGCGAGCGUUAAUCGGAAUUACUGGGCUUAAAGCGCGCGUAGGCGGUCUGAUAAGCCGGUUGUGAAAGCCCCGGGCUCAACCUGGGAACGGCAUCCGGAACUGUCAGGCUAGAGUGCAGGAGAGGAAGGUAGAAUUCCCGGUGUAGCGGUGAAAUGCGUAGAGAUCGGGAGGAAUACCAGUGGCGAAGGCGGCCUUCUGGACUGACACUGACGCUGAGGUGCGAAAGCGUGGGUAGCAAACAGGAUUAGAUACCCGAGUAGUC